UUCCCAGGUAAGGGAAGAUGGCCUAGUGGAGGCACCUCGUUUGAUUUCAUCGACCCUCCUUGCUGCAAAUUUCGUCCCCUUUCACAACUUCGCUUUCCUCCGCCACAACCCUCAGGUCCUCGUGUUCCUGUUGGAGACUCCCUUCUUUGGAUAAAAUAAUCAAAGGUAACUUAAAAAUGGCUAAACGUAGUCGUGGUCAGAGGGAGAGAGAAGUCGUCCGUGACCGCCGGGGAUUUUUGCCUGAAGGCCCUUUUCUUCGUGAACCACCCAUGCAACGACCGCGUUUGCCUCCUCAUCCGGCUAUUUUGGAAGAAGAACUUGAAAUGCAGCACGCAGAAAUGCGGAGGUUGAUAGCUGAUAAUCGGAGGUUGGUUGAGGAUCGAAUGGCAUUGCAGCGGGACCUUGCAGCUGCAAAGGAGGAGCUUCAUCGGAUGAAUCUUGCCAUUGUUGACCUUCGUUCAGAACAAGAGCUGCGUUCGAGGGAGUUUAUUGAGAAGGGACUGGAGUUGGAAUCUGAGCUGCGGGCGACAGAGCCUUUGAAGAAGGAGACUACACAAUUGCGAGCUGAAGCCCAGAAACUUAAUAAACUUAGACAAGAGCUUGCAGGCAAAGUUCAGACACUCACCCAAGAUCUUGCAAGGUUACAAGCUGAUAAUCAGCAAAUUCCUAUGCUGAGGGCCGAGAUUGAAGGCCUGCAUCAGGAGCUUAUGCGUACUAGAACCAUGGUUGACUAUGAAAAGAAAGCAAGCGCGGAGUUGAUGGAACAGAGACAGGCAAUGGAGAAAAAUAUGGUUUCCAUGUCCCGAGAUGUGGAGAAAUUACGGGCAGAGCUGACUAUUGCUGAGGGCAGACACUGGAACGCAGGUGGGCCUUAUGGUACAAGAUAUGGUGGCUUGGAUUUACCAGUUCCAUAUGCCGAUGGAUAUAGUUCUCAUAUGGGCGGUGCUGAGAAAAAUCCAUUGUAUGGACGAGUUCCUCCUUCAGGGGGACGACAUGAGAAGCCUCACACAUCUCGCCGUUGAGAUAUGAGUAAUUGCUGUUGGAAUGAACAAAGGCACUUCCUUCAUUUAUGGGAACAUCGGAAUCUGAGAUGAAACUUGAAGUUGCUUUUUGUGUGCUUGCAGCAUCAAGGGUCAAUUAUCUGGAUAUGUUAUUAGUCCUAAACGACAUAUAUAAGAUGGGAGACUCGUAAUCCUGUCCAACACUGGAUGAUUUGAACAAAUCUCCUAUUGGAUUUCAAUAGCCUUCUGAUUGUUUCAUGGGGAAGCUUACUCUGGGCUGAACAUUUCGUUCAGUGAUGCAGGAUGUGGCGUGAAUUAUAUUUUAGUAUUCCAAAGACUACUUAAAUAUCGUUCAUGCGACAAGCCCAUCAACAGAAAUAGGUGACAUAGCUCAGCGCAAGGUUAAUGUGGCCAUAAAAUGUUUGGUUGUUGCUAAGCAUGUCACAAUAGAUCAUGU